rnacentral:rRNA from 1 species
AGAGACAGCAGCAGCCGCGGUAACACGAAGGGGGCUAGCGUUGCUCGGAAUUACUGGGCAUAAAGGGAGCGUAGGCGGAUCGUUAAGUUGGGGGUGAAAGCCCGGGGCUCAACCUCGGAAUUGCCUUCAAUACUGGCGAUCUUGAGUAUGGAAGAGGUAUGUGGAACUCCGAGUGUAGAGGUGAAAUUCGUAGAUAUUCGGAAGAACACCAGUGGCGAAGGCGACAUACUGGUCCAUUACUGACGCUGAGGCUCGAAAGCGUGGGGAGCAAACAGGAUUAGAUACCCGCGUAGUCCCUGUCUCUUAUAC